GAUGAACGCUGGCGGCGUGCCUAAUACAUGCAAGUCGAGCGAACAGACGAGGAGCUUGCUCCUCUGACGUUAGCGGCGGACGGGUGAGUAACACGUGGAUAACCUACCUAUAAGACUGGGAUAACUUCGGGAAACCGGAGCUAAUACCGGAUAACAUGUUGAACCGCAUGGUUCAACAGUGAAAGACGGUCUUGCUGUCACUUAUAGAUGGAUCCGCGCCGCAUUAGCUAGUUGGUAAGGUAACGGCUUACCAAGGCAACGAUGCGUAGCCGACCUGAGAGGGUGAUCGGCCACACUGGAACUGAGACACGGUCCAGACUCCUACGGGAGGCAGCAGUAGGGAAUCUUCCGCAAUGGGCGAAAGCCUGACGGAGCAACGCCGCGUGAGUGAAGAAGGUCUUCGGAUCGUAAAACUCUGUUAUUAGGGAAGAACAAAUGUGUAAGUAACUGUGCACGUCUUGACGGUACCUGAUCAGAAAGCCACGGCUAACUACGUG
rnacentral:rRNA from 1 species